rnacentral:tRNA from 1 species
GUUUAGAGGGGCUUAGCGGUUAGAGUCUAGGGCUUGUAACCGGAAGGUCCCCAGUUCGAAUCUCGUCAGAGGG